rnacentral:rRNA from 1 species
GAUGAACGCUCGCGGGAGGCCUAACACAUGCAAGCCGAGCGGUAGAGUUUCUUCGGAAACUUGAGAGCGGCGCACGGGUGCGUAACACGUGUGCAACCUACCUUUAUCUGGGGGAUAGCCUUUCGAAAGGAAGAUUAAUACCCCAUAAUAUAAUGAUUGGCAUCAAUUAUUAUUGAAAACUCCGGUGGAUAGAGAUGGGCACGCGCAAGAUUAGAUAGUUGGUGAGGUAACGGCUCACCAAGUCAAUGAUCUUUAGGGGUCCUGAGAGGGAGAUCCCCCACACUGGUACUGAGACACGGACCAGACUCCUACGGGAGGCAGCAGUGAGGAAUAGUGGACAAUGGGUGAGAGCCUGAUCCAGCCAUCCCGCGUGAAGGAUGACGGUCCUAUGGAUUGUAAACUUCUUUUGUACAGGGAUAAACCUACCCUCGUGAGGGUAGCUGAAGGUACUGUACGAAUAAGCACCGGCUAACUCCGUG